rnacentral:rRNA from 1 species
UACGAAGGGGGCUAGCGUUGCUCGGAAUCACUGGGCGUAAAGGGUGCGUAGGCGGGUCUUUAAGUCAGGGGUGAAAUCCUGGAGCUCAACUCCAAAACUGCCUUUGAUACUGAAGAUCUUGAGUUCGGGAGAGGUGAGUGGAACUGCGAGUGUAGAGGUGAAAUUCGUAGAUAUUCGCAAGAACACCAGUGGCGAAGGCGGCUCACUGGCCCGAUACUGACGCUGAGGCACGAAAGCGUGGGGAGCAAACAGG